GCAACUGCAGAACAAACAAAAAGUGUAACUGUAAUUUCACGUGACUAGUGACCACCAUGUUUUACAGUUGCGAGUCCAAUUCACAACAGUACCAUUUAACACUUUGACCGAUUAAGGAUGAAGGGCUACAGAAAAAAAUUAAUUUUUUAAUUAUAAUUUUUUUAAUUCGAAAUUUAUUUAAGUUUUCCUAAAAUUCAACGGGCCAAGUUUGGUACUUCAGUAAGUUUUAACUAUUAUCAUUAAUCAUUAUCAUUGAUAUCCUACAAAAUUGUAGUCUUAAAUAUUCUUUUUCCCUGGGCCAAUGGAAGUAAUUAAAAAUCAGAAAAAUAGUGAUGUAAAACACUUGUGGAAUAAACCUUAAACUCUGAGUUUUUGCAGUAAAUUCAGAUUUUCUAAUCCCCUAUAUCUUUGCAACCUGAUGGUGUAAACCUUUGAUAUUUUAAACUAUUAUUAUUUGAUCUAAAAAAAAUCAUAAUUUGAAAUAUUAAUGGCCUCCGACAUUGAAUUGCAAAGAUAUAGUUACCUGUAAUAGGACCAUCGAGAGUUGACCCCCAGCUGCCAAACAACUCCAGACAAUUAAAAGGUUAAUCAAGGAAUAGGCAGGUUUGAAGCAAAAGCAUCUCCAUCCUGGGGAAUUUUCCGCAUUUUCCGAAAAGAAAAAACAGCAAGGUUCCUUCUCGACAAUUAUUGAAAGACUGGAUAAGUGUAAAAUUGUUGUUUAAAUCAACCACUGUACACUGUACGUGUGUUUAAUGUAUACAGUACAUAUCCAAUUUAAAUUGA